GGGUUCUGAAUUACAGUUGUGUCACAAUGGGACAGAGUUUUCCCUUGACCCUGGAAACCCCGUGGCCACACAGGCAUUGGUGGAUCCCAUCCCAGACAUACCCUGUCCCAGGAGGUCACACCUGUUCACCCUCUGGGUGGCUCUGGGGCUGCUGGUGGUGGGAUGCCUCCGUCUCAUCCCUUCUGGGUUCCAACAGGCUGCGUCCCCUGAGGUGUCCAUCUCCGUACAUCCUGGUUGGGUAAGUUUUGCUUUGCUGAACUUGAAUGAAGUCAGUCACACUCUUGCCAAUUUGAGGUGCCCAGGGGUCCUGCGGCCCCAGCUGAACCCCCUUCCUCCUGCCAGUAGCCAGCUUCAGAUCUCCAGGUACCCUGUCCCCCAUCGUGGGAUGGAGGAGUGGAUCUGGUUUGCUGGUUUUUAACUGAGUGACUUUUCUGGUGCAGGUUCCUGGUUCACCAUGGACCUGAUGAAGAAUGCAAGGCGAUGGAAGCUGCCUGCAGCACUGGACAUGUACAAGAGUAUGUACCAGAAGGACUUUUGCUGGCACAACACCUACGAGCCACCCAACCAGGAGAACGUACCGAUAACUUCAUACCAUCCUACUUCAGAUGGCUACGUACCAAGGUGCUACCUACCCAAGUCCGAGCCUCCCAUCCAAGCGACACCAGGCCGGUCAGGGAAACUGGAGAUCCUCUCUGAGCCGCAGGAAGGGCUGCUCUGUUGUUGCCGGGAUCUCCCACCUCCUGCUCCAGCAGCCGGAACAGAAGGGACGAUGCUGCACAGGGAGAAAGUGUCCCCAGGCUUGGUCUCCUACGUGCAAUUCACCCGGGAUUUGUACCGGGAAAGGCUGGACAAUGCUGAUCAAUACAAAAACAAGAUGCUGGGCUCAUCUGUUGUGAUGGAAGACUGCUCUGUACCUGACUGGAGAAGUACCUACCAGCUGGAUUUCCCACGCCGGACAGGAGUCCAUGGUGGAUUAUACACAGAGCAGACGAGGCCUUCUCCCGUUUUCCCUGCAGACAGCCGCCUCAACCAGGGCCGCUGGGUAUCUGAGUAUGCAGACAACUACAGUGUUUUCUUGAAGAAGCUGGACUGGUCCACUCCAAUCCCUUGUCCAUGGAUGCUGUCUGGGAAGGAUAUGCGAUGGAGACCGCGAUGCACACCACGAUGCCCUGAGUGGUGCUAAGGUGGCCAUGCUCCUUGGCCCUCCAAGCUGCCUGUAAUAUUGCUCAUCCAAGACCCUGAAAGCCUGGAAACCUCCUCUCUUCCAAACCAUGUCUAUCAGAUGUGAAACGUAUGGCAAAGACCUCUUUAAGUGCAAAUUAUCAUUAAAAUCUCCCAAGAACCUCAGCUUUUAUCAUUGUCAGAAAAAGACUUUUUUGGGGGAACAGUGUGGGCUACAGAGCCAAGUC
rnacentral:lncRNA from 1 species